AUUGAACGCUGGCGGCAGGCUUAACACAUGCAAGUCGAGCGGAGAUGAGGUGCUUGCACCUUAUCUUAGCGGCGGACGGGUGAGUAAUGCUUAGGAGUCUGCCUAUUAGUGGGGGACAACAUUCCGAAAGGAAUGCUAAUACCGCAUACGCCCUACGGGGGAAAGCAGAGGAUCUUCGGACCUUGCGCUAAUAGAUGAGCCUAAGUCGGAUUAGCUAGUUGGUGGGGUAAAGGCCUACCAAGGCGACGAUCUGUAGCGGGUCUGAGAGGAUGAUCCGCCACACUGGGACUGAGACACGGCCCAGACUCCUACGGGAGGCAGCAGUGGGGAAUAUUGGACAAUGGGCGGAAGCCUGAUCCAGCCAUGCCGCGUGUGUGAAGAAGGCCUUUUGGUUGUAAAGCACUUUAAGCGAGGAGGAGGCUACCUGGAUUAAUACUCUAGGAUAGUGGACGUUACUCGCAGAAUAAGCACCGGCUGACUCUGUGCCAGCCGCCGCAGUAACAC
rnacentral:rRNA from 1 species